rnacentral:rRNA from 1 species
UACGUAGGGGGCAAGCGUUGUCCGGAAUCAUUGGGCGUAAAGAGCGUGUAGGCGGCUUGGUAAGUCCGCUGUGAAAGUCCAGGGCUCAACCCUGGAAUGCCGGUGGAAACUGUCAAGCUUGAGUCCGGAAGAGGCGAGUAGAAUUCCUGGUGUAGCGGUGAAAUGCGCAGAUAUCAGGAGGAACACCAAUGGCGAAGGCAGCUCGCUGGGACGGUACUGACGCUGAGACGCGAAAGCGUGGGGAGCAAACAGG